CCCUUAGAUGUCCGGGGCUGCACACGCGCUACACUGAAGGAAUCAGCGUGCUAAAACCAUUGUCGAAAGGCAUUGGUAAACCCAUUAAAAUCCUACGUGAUUGGGAUCGGGAAUUGCAAUUAUUUCCCUUGAACGAGGAAUUCCCAGUAAGUGUGGGUCAUAAGCUCGCGUUGAUUACGUCCCUGCCCUUUGUACACACCGCCCGUCGCUGCCCGGGACUGAGCCGUUUCGAGAAAAGCGGGGACUGCUGCUGUCGGGGCUUUCGGGCCUUGGCUUCGGUGGAAACCGCUUUAAUCGCAGUGGCUUGAACCGGGCAAAAGUCGUANCA
rnacentral:rRNA from 1 species